GAGUUUGAUCGUGGCUCAGAUUGAACGCUGGCGGCAUGCCUUACACAUGCAAGUCGAACGGCAGCACGGGAGCUUGCUCCUGGUGGGCGAGUGGCGAACGGGUGAGUAAUGCAUCGGAACGUAUCCUGGAGUGGGGGAUAACGUAGCGAAAGUUACGCUAAUACCGCAUAUUCUGUGGGCAGGAAAGCGGGGGACCUUCGGGCCUCGCGCGUCUUGGAGCGGCCGAUGUCGGAUUAGCUAGUUGGUGAGGUAAAGGCUCACCAAGGCGACGAUCCGUAGCAGGUCUGAGAGGAUGAUCUGCCACACUGGAACUGAGACACGGUCCAGACUCCUACGGGAGGCAGCAGUGGGGAAUUUUGGACAAUGGGGGCAACCCGUGAUCCAGCCAUGCCGCGUGAGUGAAGAAGGCCU
rnacentral:rRNA from 1 species